rnacentral:lncRNA from 1 species
AUCCAUAUAUACAUACAACUAAAAGUCUAAACCAUGCUUCUUACCAAAAAAAAGAAAGGUCUAAAUCAUGCUCCAAAACCCCAUAUCUUCCAAAUAAAACCUGCUAAUUCCCCAUCCUAUAAACCAAGGUGCAGCAGCCUAGCAGGAGGAUGUUGACCGGUCAAAAUCGCUGGGACCGGAUACUUCCUCCUGUGGGCCCUG